rnacentral:rRNA from 1 species
AUGCCGGAGAUGACCAACAGGGAUUACCUCAGUAACGGCGAGUGAAGCGGUAACAGCUCAAAUUUGAAAUCUGGCCUCACGGUCCGAGUUGUAAUUUGUAGAGGAUGCUUCGAGCAUGGUCUGGCCUAAGUUCCUUGGAACAGGACGUCAUAGAGGGUGAGAAUCCCGUAUGCGGCCAGGUGCCUACGCUCAUGUGAAGCUCCUUCGACGAGUCGAGUUGUUUGGGAAUGCAGCUCAAAAAUAUUGGCCAGAGACCGAUAGCGCACAAGUAGAGUGAUCGAAAGAUGAAAAGCACUUUGGAAAGAGAGUUAAACAGUACGUGAAAUUGUUGAAAGGGAAGCGCUUGCAACCAGACUUGCGCGCGGCCGAUCAUCCGGUGUUCUCACCGGUGCACUCGGCCGUGCUCAGGCCAGCAUCGGUUUUGGCGGCUGGAUAAAGGCCCUAGGAAUGUAGCUCCUCUCGGGGAGUGUUAUAGCCUAGGGUGCAAUGCAGCCUGCUGGGACCGAGGACCGCGCUUCGGCUAGGAUGCUGGCGUAAUGGUUGUAAGCGGCCCGUCUUGAAACACGGACCAAGGAGUCUAACAUCUAUGCGAGUGUUUGGGUGUCAAACCCAUACGCGUAAUGAAAGUGAACGGAGGUGAGAACCCUUAAGGGUGCAUCAUCGACCGAUCCUGAUGUCUUCGGAAGGAUUUGAGUAAGAGCAUAGCUG